ACAGAACCUUCCAGAAGUGGGCGGCCCUGGUGGUGCCUUCUGGAGAGGAACAGAGAUACACGUGCUGUGUGCAGCACGAGGGGCUUCAGGAGCCCCUCACUCUGAGAUGGGAACCUCCUCAGCCCACCGUCCCCAUCAUGGGCCUCAUUGUUGGCCUGGCUCUCUUGGUGGUCACUGGAGCCGUGGUGGCUGGAGCUGUGAUCUGGAGGAAGAAGCACUCAGGUA